CGGAUUGAAGGCUGAAAUUCGCCUUCCAUGAAGCCGGAAUUGCUAGUAAUGGCAGGUCAGCAUACUGCCGUGAAUACGUUCCCGGGCCUUGUACACACCGCCCGUCACACCAUGAGAGUUGGAAAUACCCGAAGCCUGUGAGCUAACUGUAAAGAGGCAGCAGUCGAAGGUAGAGCCAAUGAUUGGGGUGAAGUCGUAACAAGGUACC
rnacentral:rRNA from 1 species